GAAAGCUACAAGGCUACUCUUCCAGGAACCAGGUGAAGCCUCCAGGGCCUCUCGGCCCGCCGCCAGGGGGCGCCCGCGGACGGCCCACGUGGCAGCGGUCGCAGAGGGGCGGAGCCGCUCAGUCGGAGCUCUCCGAAUCAGGGCCACUAUCCGGUGUGGGUGGGAGCAGGGGCCGUCUGCGAGACCGCUUGAUCCGGCGCGAAGGCAAAGGCAGCCUCCGUUUCAGGAGAGCUGUGGGAAGGUCCCCCAGUCGUUAAGGAGACCGGGGCCACAGAUGAGGUUCCCAAAGUCAACUGCUGGGCCUUCAGGCUCUGUGAAGAGGCCAAGGAAACCCUCAGGCCUGGGGGCGUGGAUUGGAGACCAAGGGCAGCCCGGAGACCCCUUCUCUUCACAACACUGAUCGAGGACCGCCCGGAUCCUCUAGAUGUCACCUGUGCACCAGGAGGUCGCCAGCUCCGUAGAGCAAAGGCCAGAGUCGGGGCCUAAGGAGAAUAGAAAAGGACUCAGCCCCUACUCUCUAUUAACCCAAUAUUCUUGCCAGCAAGCCUGGUCCCAGCACCCCUCACCUGUACACACCGUCUCCCACACAGCUUCCCUCUUCUGGAGGCUGGCAUCGUGGGAGUGGGCCCAAAAAGAUUGUCAGAGAGAAACCACACACUCUUUCUCUGCUUCCGCCGCCGCUGCCUCUUCAGCCAGUGGGCAACCCAGGCUGGCUCUAUCCAUGCCAGCUCCAGUGCAGUCCCCCAUGCUGUCAGCACCAAGGGCUAUGAAAGAAGGUGACGUAGAGCUAAGAUGGAAGAAGACCCUGAGUUUUCCUUCCUCUGCCCAUAGUGCCUCGCUCUUCCGUAGCACAACACCCUAGUUUGGGGGUGGGGGGAAGAGGAAGAGACAGGUUCUCACUGUUCUAGAAUUCAAUAUGUAGACCAGGAUGGCCUCAAGCUCAGAAAUCUGCCUGCUUUUGCCUCUAGAGUACUUGAUUAAAGAUGGUAGCCACCAAGCCCAGGUUUUUUGUUGUUUGUUUUGGGUUUGUUUUGUUUUGACAUUUUUAAUUUCUUUUUCUUUUAGCACAUCUUUCACUAACCACUUACCCGGUCCCACGUGAGACUGAAGUCAGGAAUGAGCGUGGGCUUAGCCACAUACAGGUGGGCCAAGAGUGCAAGCUGGAGCUUCAGCCAGGGGUGGGCACAGGGGUGGUAGAAGAAGGCGAUACCCUCAGCCUGGAGGAAAGGCAGAGAUAUCAAGCCAGGCCCAGCACCCUCCCAGAGAAUCACAGCGUUUCCUAUCCUAGGUGCCAGGAUAAGGAGGUUACCAGAAAGUGCCCAUCCACUUCCAGGAAAAGGCAAAGGGUCUUGAGUACUGAGAUGUAAUCCUUUCUAAUUCACUUCUCUUCUCCAUCAAGUGCACACCCCCCCCCCCCAAAGAUGCACCUCUGGGCAAGACCACAUGGCUGUAACCCCAUUAGACUCCAGACAUGCUCCCUAGCCCCCACACACGGUGCUGGGGAUCGCACUGACCCGUGUCCCUGGCCCUCAGACCCCUGCAUCUGGAGGUAUAGGUUGUGAGCUGUCACGUGAGUACUGGGAACAGACGCUGGAAGAGCAGCGGAAGCUCUUAACCACUGAGCUGUAUCUCCAGCCCAGUGAGAAUGAGGAGGCUUCCGCUGUAUCUCGGACUGUGUAUGCAUCAAUGGCUCUACAAGUCCCAGCCCUGGCCCUCAGAUAAAGACCAAGUCUUCUACUUCUCCAUCUAAUCCUCGCGCUCUCCCAGGAGUGUCCAGACACACUUGACUGCACGAUCCCAGGGUAGGAGCAUUUCGUCGGACAUUAUUCUGAGUUGACCUGUGCUGGGUGCUAUAAAAGACACCAAAAGAGAACUCCCAGGCCUUGAGGAAAUGUAUAAGAGACUCAAGGAAAGCUAGGUGUGAUCAUGUACACCUGGGAUCCCAGCCAUUUGGAACAAAAGAUUGAAAGUUCAAGGCCAGACCAGGGUACACAGUAAAUA
rnacentral:lncRNA from 1 species